CGUAGGGUGCGAGCGUUAAUCGGAAUUACUGGGCGUAAAGCGUGCGCAGGCGGUUUUGUAAGACAGAUGUGAAAUCCCCGGGCUCAACCUGGGACCUGCAUUUGUGACUGCAAGGCUAGAGUACGGUAGAGGGGGAUGGAAUUCCGCGUGUAGCAGUGAAAUGCGUAGAUAUGCGGAGGAACACCGAUGGCGAAGGCAAUCCCCUGGACCUGUACUGACGCUCAUGCACGAAAGCGUAGGGAGCAAACAGGAUUAGAUACCCUGGUAGUCCACGCCCUAAACGAUGUCAACUGGUUGUUGGGUCUUUACUGACUCAGUAACGAAGCUAACGCGUGAAGUUGACCGCCUGGGGAGUACGGCCGCAAGGUUG
rnacentral:rRNA from 1 species